rnacentral:rRNA from 1 species
GACAGAGGGUGCAAACGUUGUUCGGAAUUACUGGGCGUAAAGCGAGUGUAGGCGGUUUGGUAAGUCGGAUGUGAAAGCCCCGGGCUCAACCCGGGAAGUGCACUCGAUACUGCCAAGCUAGAGUGUCGGAGAGGUUGGUGGAAUUCUCGGUGUAGAGGUGAAAUUCGUAGAUAUCGAGAGGAACACCGGUGGCGAAGGCGGCCAACUGGACGAACACUGACGCUGAGACUCGAAAGCGUGGGGAGCAAACAGG